UGCCAGCCGCCGCGGUAAUACGAAGGGGGCUAGCGUUGUUCGGAAUUACUGGGCGUGAAGCGCACGUAGGAGGAUUUUUAAGUCAGAUGUGAAAUCCCGAGGCUCAACCCCGGAACUGCCUCUAAUACUGCUAGUCUUGAGUUCGAGAGAGGUGAGUGGAAUUCCGAGUGUAGAGGUGAAAUUCGUAGAUAUUCGGAGGAACACCAGUGGCGAAGGCGGCUCACUGGCUCGAUACUGACGCUGAGGUGCGACAGCGUGGGGAGCAAACAGGAUUAGAUA
rnacentral:rRNA from 1 species